GAAGAAUCUAGGAUAUAUGCAUGUAAGAAUAUGAUGAAAAAUGUGUGUAUAUACAUAUUAUUAGUUAAGAAAACCCAAUAUUUUCUAAUAAUUCCAGUUAUUCUGCUGUUGAUUUGCUGUUUGGGAUUGUUGUCCUUUUGCCUGGUUCAGUCUGGCCCAAGCUUUAGCUGUCACACAGAGGGCAUCACAUUUGACUCUAGAAUACUUUGAUAUACAGAGUGCAGUGAUUGCAUGGUUCCUAUAGUAUAGUUUAGUUUAAUUUAGUGUCGCUUCAUUAAAGACACACACGGGUCCAUAACCAAACAUCUCCACUUAAUAUCAUUAAAGUGAGUUAUUUUCAUGUUUUGGUCCCUCCUAAAAAUUAAUUACAUAUGAUGAAUAAAGUCAAAGUUUCCAUGGAAACAUAAAUUGUAUUAUCAGAACAGCCAAACUGUAAUAUAAAACUAACAAAAACAAUAAUGAAUUGUGGUCAUUAAUAUGUUGAAAAAAUAAUUCUUUUGAGUUUGAUUCUUGUAGUUUCAAAUGCUAUUGUUUAUUUUGUUAUGUUACAUAUAUCUUGUAAGUUUGUGGCAUUGCUCAUCUACAAAGCUACAGAGUUUAGCCUGAAUAUACAAACUGUUAAUAAUUAUAUCAAUUUAAAAACUUCUCCCUACUUGUUUUUAUUUACUUUUUUUUUUUUUAAUUCAGAGGAGAAGUACUUUGCAAGUUGUCUGAAGGCAUUUUGAAGACGUUUUGAGCUUUUACAGCAGAACGCAUGCUGUUGUAUCCAGAAUGAUAUUUGCCUUUUUUUGAAAUAAACAACGCCUUCACGGAAAACUACUGGUUACCCCUGUUGCCUCACAGCAGGGAGGUCCUGGGUUUGAACCCUGGCACCCUUUCUGUGUGGACCUUACACUGACAAAAAAAAAUGCUAAGUUAAUGUUGACUGUCUGGGCCGAAGACACUCUUGCCGAAGAGAUUGUUGAUGUCAAGAGUUCCACUUUCUGAUUAAAUAAAGGUCGAUGCCUAAAAAAUGUGCACGUUAGCCAUGCUCUGUGCUUUAAUGCACCUCCCAUCAUGGAUGCUGGCUAUUGAACUGCACUGAUAACAAGUCAGAUGUCCUUCUCCUCUUUUGCACAGAGAAUUAAAUGUUGAUGAUAUAUAAAAAAGGGACUUUUAUAUUAUGAUUGGUCAGAUCUUAUUACAGUUUUCCUCUUCCUUUCUCUUUUAAAUUGUUGUUGCACUGUAUGAUUUUAGCCUUUAUCAAAAAAGAACUGUGCUAAUGUAACUACUUCUUCUAGAGAACCAUGUGUGUUUUCUAUACACUGCAGCCUGAAGACCCAGAAAUCAUAGACAUAGACUGUUUAUUUAUUUAAAAUCUUCUGCUCCAAUUUUCUUUUUUUAAAAAUUUGUUUUGCUGAUAUGAAAUGUAAAAAUUGCAUAAAAUUGUCAUUUUUUAAAAUAUCAUUUAUAUAUUUAUAUAGAGAGCUCAUGCUUAUUCGAAAAAGUCAUACUUUAUUUUAGUAUUCUGAAAGAUUUCUGUACCCAUUUUGAAUUUUUAAAAUGACCUCUGAGACUUCUGUACCUUUAGCAUAACUCUACAUUUAAUUAUUAUUCAAAUUGCAAUCCCGUAAUUCCCCCUGUAGAUUUUUCUUCCAGUAUUACGUUACAUCAAUUAUACAGAAAGUAAUAAAAGCUUGUAUGUGUCUCUUGUGGAAAUAAACAGA